rnacentral:rRNA from 1 species
GACGAACGCUGGCGGCGUGCCUAACACAUGCAAGUCGAGCGGGGAUGUAAGUGGAAGUUCUUCGGAAUGGAGAGCUAACUUCUAGCGGCGGACGGGUGAGUAACGCGUGGACAUUCUGUCCCGGACAGGGGGAUAACACUUGGAAACAGGUGCUAAUACCGCAUAAGACCACGGCCUCGCAUGGGGCUGAGGUAAAAGGAGCAAUCCGGUGCGGGGUGAGUUCGGGUCCGAUUAGCUAGUUGCUGAGGUAACGGCCCACCAAGGCGACGAGCGGUAGCCGGCCUGAGAGGGUGAACGGCCACAUUGGAACUGAGAGACGGCACACACCUACACGGGAGGGAGGAGUGGGGAAUAGCGGGAAAUGGGCGAGCGCCUGACCCAGAAACGCCGCGUGGGGGAAGAAGGUUUUCGGAUUGUAACCCUCUGGCCUAUGAGACGGAGUAAGUGACGGUAACAUAGGAAGAAGCCCCGGCUAACUACGUG